GUCAAAGAACUCAAGUUAUCAUCCGAGUCGGCCUCCAGAUCGAUUCAUUUAGGUUUUUCUCGAAGAUACCAGUUUCAGUUUUUUUAGAAGAUACCAAGUUUUGCAGCGACAGAUUUGUAGAAGAAAACCCACUUUAGUGAUAUCCUCAAAGACACCAAGAACUUCACCGGAUUUCUAAGGACCUCCGGAAGUCUCACUGUUAUAAGCACGCCCUCAAGUCGAAAUUCCGGGUGAUUAGCAUUACUUGAAAAGCAUUCGUGAAGGCUUGUUCUGCUCAUUUCUUCGUCAAAUUCGGCCUUUAGGAAGUCAAAUUUUUCAGUGGGCAAGGCCGUAGCUCUGUUUUAGCUCUCCAUCUUCGUUGUUUCCCUCAUCUGGAUCGUCUCUGGUAACCCCUCAUUUCCUUUCUCUUUCUCUCUCUAAAUCACCCCAACUUUCUUUCUCCUCUUCAUUUUUCGUCAAUUUCGAACAAUUCCACAUCUUCAAACAACAAGUUUUUCACUUUUUCU